rnacentral:lncRNA from 1 species
CCUCGAAAUUUGAACCCUUCACAAGAGAAGGUCAGGAUCGACAUUCCAUAAUCAUUCAGAUGGACAUCCUCAGAGGGGGAUAGACGACGACAUUUACCUUGGAAUCGAAACCCUUCACAAGAGAAGGACAGGAUCGACAUUCCAUAAAUAUUCAGAUCGAGAUCCUCAGAGGGGGAUAGACGUCGACAUUUGACUCGGAAUUCGAACCCUUCACAAGAGAAGGGCAGGAUCGACAUUCCACAAAUAUUCAGAUCGACAUCCUCAGAGGGGGAUAGACAUCGACAUUUACCUCGAAAUUCGAACCCUUCACAAGAGAAGGUCAGGAUCGACAUUCCACAAACAUUCAGUUAGACAUCCUCAGAGGAGGAUAGACGUCGACAUUUACCUUGGAAUCGAAACCCUUCACAAGAGAAGGACAUGAUCGACAUUCCACAAAUAUUCAGAUCGACAUCCUCAGAGGGGGAUAGACGUCGACAUUUACCUUGGAAUCGAAACCCUUUAUAAGAGAAGGGCAGAAUCGACAUUCCACAAAAUUCAGUUCGACAUCCUCAGAGGGGGAUAGAUGUCGACAUUUACUAUUGAAUCGAAACCCUUCACAAGAGAAUUCGAAGGACAGGAUCGACAAGAGAAGGGCAGGAUCGACAUUCCAUAAAAUUCAGUUCGACAUCCUCAGAGGGGGAUAGACGUCGACAUUUACCUUGGAAUCGAAACCCUUCACAAGAGAAGGACAGGAUCGACAUUCCACAAAUAUUCAGAUCGACAUCCUCAGAGGGGGACAGACGUCGACAAUAUUCACAGUUGACAUCGACAUCCUCAGAAAAGGAUAAGAUCGACCUUCAUACGACAUCGACAUCUUCAGGGAGAGAUGAGAUCGACUUUUAGUAUGAUUGUCAACAUCCUAAGAGAAGGAAAGAGUCAACCAUCACACGAUAUCAACAUCCUCAGAAAAAGAUGAGAUCGACUUUUAUAUGACGUCGACAUCUCCAGGGAGAGAUGGGAUCGACUUUCUGUACAAACUUCGACAUCUUCAGAAAAGGAUGACACCGACCAAAAGGAAGUAUCGACUUUAAGAACAAGAGCAUCGACAUUCCAAAAAAGUCGAUCAUCACAAACUACACCGACGUACUUCAGAGUAAAGGUGUAAAACAAAUGAGAAAAAGGGUGAGAUAUCUUUAUUCAGAAUUACAAGUAAAAGGAAUGAAAGUAUUACAAAUCCCUAGUUAAAAUUAAUACGGCGACGCAAGCGGCGAGGAAUCUGACCUGGCGGAGAAGCACCGCGUCGGGGGCGCCUCCGACGUCGACCACGAAGAGGGACAGCAGGGGAAACAGCAGGCGGAAGAUCGUCGACGGACCAUUCCUCAAAUAUUGAUUCCCUGGCCGCAACGGCAACACUCUGCCGCUCAACAAUAAUUUGACGCAAAGCAGGAAGAUCCAAGGCCGAAGACUACUAGCAAAUAGUUACUGUAUAACUAGACUACAUAGCUAAUGGGAGAGAGUCAAUGAGCAUUUUGCUCAUUUCUUUU